UCAAAGUUCUGAUCACUGCAGCUUCUGCCUCUGUCCAGGACUUCCUUUGUUUCUGGUUAUCGUGGAGACCUCCUAGCUAGAGGUUGUGAUCCACCCAGCAGUCCAGGCCGAGACCAGGACAAGGUGGGCUUUAUGGAGAUCAAAUGCUGAAACCCACACAAAAAAGAGCCACCAGACCAGCAUGUUGCACUGUGUCAUCCUCUGCCAGGGACAGCCCUUCCAGAAUGGUUGCAAGAAAAAAACUGACAUAAUGCUUAGUUGCAUUGGGAGAUGUGCGGAGUAAAAUUCGACCUGAUUGUAAUGCACUGAAGACUGUGACAGCCGCGACAACCUCUUUCCCUGCAGAGCCUGUAGUCCAUCUUUUGUGGGUGGACUGCAGGCCUUGAGGGAUAGAAUUACCAAAGCUGGAGGUCAGUAAUUCCAGCAAGAUUCCAUUUUUGUCCAGUAUAGUAGUGCGAUGUGAUGAAUGUGGCGUUUUAGUGAUGGCAGAACUGCUCUUGGGAAUUAACAAGUGGAGUUAAUUAAGAGCAGCUCAUGAUGGUGCUUUACACUUGAAAUAAACGGAGCAAUUUUUGGA